UACGGAGGGUGCAAGCGUUAUCCGGAUUUACUGGGUUUAAAGGGUGCGUAGGCGGACUUUUAAGUCAGGGGGUGAAAUCCCGGGGCUCAACCCCGGAACUGCCUUUGAUACUAUUGGUCUUGAAUGUUGUGGAGGUGGGCGGAACGGGUCAUGUAGCGGUGAAAUGCAUAGAUAUGACCCGGAACACCGAUGCGAAGGCAGCCCGCUACGCAACGAUGACGCGUAGGCACGAA
rnacentral:rRNA from 1 species